rnacentral:misc_RNA from 1 species
GUGAAUCAUCGAAUUUUUGAACGCAAAUUGCGCUCUCUUCGGAGAGUAUGCCUGUUUGAGGGUCAGCCUUAAUAAAAAUCGGUGUGUUGCUUCUUUGUGACGCUCCGGAGUUUGGGUCAUCUUAAUAUCCUUCAGGUUUUAAGAGACUUAACUUAAACUUUUUUUGCUCAUUUUAGAUAUACAUAAAUUCUUUUUUUUAUUCCUCUGUCUUAGUGUUCAUUAUUCUAUUAGAUGCGAC